rnacentral:piRNA from 1 species
UUGAGAUGAGCCUUACUACCUA